rnacentral:snoRNA from 1 species
CAGCAUUCUUAAACCCUCUUGGUAGCCUUGCUGAAGACGCUUCCAAGAUAUGAGUGAAUGCGACAGAAAACUGCAGGUUAAUCCAAAAUGCUGAGUUUUCUUCUGACUUGGCAUUAUUUCAAAUCUGUGACAAUUU